UCACUAUUAGGAAUGAACCACUGAAAUCAUCUAGAGUAUGUCUGAGGUUCAGGUGGCCAGCUAGGAUCUCCUGGCAUCAUUGAAGACAACUUAAGGCUCCAGCAACUCCACCUCAUCGCCUGUCUGAAGACCACCACACACUUGUACUUGGUAUUUCCACUGUUAGAAAUGCAUCACUGAAAUCAUCUUGAGAACACCUGAGGUUCAGGUGGCCAGCUAGGAUCUCCUGGCAUCACUGAAGACAACUAAAGGCUCCAGCAACUCCACUGCAUCACCUAUCCGAAGGCCACCAUGAACUUGUACUUGGUAUUCAUGUCUUGAGGAUGCCUGAGGUUCAGGUGGCCAGCUAGGAUCUCCAGGCAUUAUUAAAGACAACUCCUGCAGCUCCACCCUAUUACCUGUCCGAAGGCCACCACAAACUUGUACUUAGUGAGCCUUACUCUACACAGAAAGAACACAGUGACAUGUAGUGUAAGUGACUAGCACCUUUCUAAGUGGGGCAUUGCCCACAGCAUGGCUGAUUGUGAAGGUGCUGCCCCAUCCCCCACCAUUGUCCCCUGCAUCUUUCAUCACUCCCUUCAACACAGCAGGAUGCCUGAAUCUGGAACUUACUUAUUAUUAAGUCCUAGAGAAUGUCCAGCCCACUGCCCACCAACUGUCAUGCCUGCCUCAGUGAGAACCCUCUCACUUGCUCGAUG